rnacentral:rRNA from 1 species
UACGUAGGUGGCAAGCGUUGUCCGGAUUUACUGGGCGUAAAAGCGCGACAGGCGGCUGAUUAAGUCGAAUGUGAAGCCCCCGGCUCAACUGGGGAGGGUCAUUCGAUACUGGUCAACUUGAAGGCAGGAGAGAGAAGUGGAAUUCCCGGUGUAGUGGUGAAAUGCGUAGAUAUCGGGAGGAACACCAGUGGCGAAGGCGACUUCGUUGGCCUGUUCUUGACGCUGAGGCGCGAAAGCUGGGGGAGCAACAGGG